rnacentral:rRNA from 1 species
CUUGCCCAUAUAAGAGGUCCAGCCUGCCCAGUGACAUUGUUCAACGGCCGCGGUAUCCUAACCGUGCGAAGGUAGCGUAAUCACUUGUUCUUUAAAUAAGGACUAGUAUGAAAGGCACCACGAGAGUCAUACUGUCUCCUUUCCCUAAUCAGUGAAACUAAUCUCCCCGUGAAGAAGCGGGGAUAAAAAUAUAAGACGAGAAGACCCUAUGGAGCUUUAAACAAAUAACAAUUGCCCAUUAUUUCCUAAUUUCAGAAAAAUUUUCUACCCUGGCAUCAUGAUUAUUAGUUUUCGGUUGGGGUGACCACGGAACAAAAACCAACCUCCGCAAUGAAAGCACCCACUCGCUUAAUUAAGGACUACAACCCUACACAUCAAUAAAUUGACACUAAUUGACCCAACACGUUGAUAAAUGAAC